UAACCCGCUGAGCUUGGCCAGGGAUCGAACACCCAUCCUCAUGGAUCCUAGUCGGGUUCAUUUCCCCUGCACCACAAUGGGAACUCCAGAACCGAGGACAUCUUCCUCUUGAUCUCUGGGUUCCUUGGCUGGGAAAUCAAGGAUGAUAAGAAGUUUGCAAUUGGCCAGAGGGAACCAGGCCCUAGGUUUUUCCAGACACUUCUCUCACCUCCAGACCUCUGGGCCUCAGGGAACAGGGAAACAUUCAAAGAGCUCAGAUUGUAGCUGAGUAGGAAAUGGCUGAUAAUAGCUCGAUCUGCCGCUCUCCCAGGUGUUGACAUUUGCAUUUUAAUGGAGGCGGUUAAUGCCUUCAGCUGAAGGAGUGAGGAACACACGUUCUCUCAAUUGCUGCUGGAGGUAAUGGGAGACCUGUGGUGGCCCAGGGCUUUUUAAUGCCCUCUGGCACAACAUGAGGAGAUCAUGCCUGCUCUGCAGCUGCCAAUCCUUUGGAUUCUAAUGCCUGCAUUCCAUGAUUUAUCUUUGUUCCUGUUUUUUGUUUUGCUUUCUUGCACUUUCUCCUGCAUCCUUUUUUUCCUAAAAAUAUGGGAACAUCCCCAUGAGUCAUUUAUUCUUUCAACACACAUAAACAGAUUACCCAUUUCAAGCAGAAAACUAUGUUGGCCAGGGUUGAGUGGAGUGAACCCAGGAAGUAUGCCAGCAAGAGGCCACCUCCAAGAAGUCAGAGGUGAGGAAAUCACAGAACGAGCUGGAGAACAGUCCCCUGUCAGCAGAGAUGGGCCAUGCAGCUUAUCCUGAACGCUUCUUGAACAAAUAAGAGGCUGAGAACUAGUAGGAGAAAAUAUUCCUCUAGGCUGAGGAGCAAGCAAGACUUCUAGGAGAGGUGAGACGGCAACAGAGGUAUAUGUAGGAGUUGGAUAUGCAACAACUGGAUGGAGUUUUGAGGUUUUGAAACAGUCUUCUAGUCAUAGAAGACCACGUAGUGUGUGAUCCUAUUUAUUGGAAAUGUCCAGAGGGGGCAGAGCUAUAGAAACGGAAAAGAGUCAUGAUUGCCUGGAGCUUGGGGACAGAGGCGGGGAGAUGAGGAUUAAGUGCUGAGGAGUACAAGGAAAUUGUGACAGUUGUUCUAAGAUUUGAGUUGGUCCCACAACUUAAAAUAUACUAAAAAGCUAAAAAACAAAACAAAAACACCUAAUUUCGCACUUUGUAAAUUAUGUGAUUUACAAAGAUGAGAUAUAAUGUAAGUUAUAUCUUCAUAAAGCUGGGGGAAAAUGGGGGAACGUGAUGUCCAAGAAGACCAUUCCUGUAGUAAUCCUGCUUCAGUUAGAGAAGGGAUAUCCUAGUCUUAAGUUCUUAGUAUGAAGGCUCAUAUUUAAGGUAAAAAAUUUUCAAGGACCCCAACAAUGUACCUUUGGUUAAGAAAAAUACAUAAUGGUAAAAAGCUACUACAAAUUUAGUAAUUGAUUUUCAUUUAGCAGAUGAAGUAAUACUUUACUAAUCCCAGUAGUAUCUAGACAUGCUAGAAAAAUGAUUCUGCAUUUGUAGGGGAGCAUUUUAUUAUGCCUAGAGACAAGGCUUAGUGGCUCUCUCAAAAUCUUCCUUGGCCCUUUGCGGUCUUCAAUCCACAGGUUCAGGAUCUUCAUCCAUGCUCUACUAAGGCAUGUUUGUUUUAGCUUCUCUGCCAGGCGAAUGCCAAUGGGUGGGGAUCCAUCAGCACAAAAACAAACAAACAAUAAACAAAAAACAUGAUACCACCUCCCAUGAUGUUUCUGCCCCUUCAGCUGUUCAGGCAAAAUGGCACCCUUUCUCCUCCCAGACCAAUGAGUUUGCUGAGAGCAGAUCCAGCAUAGAAGAUAGCCCGGGCCAUGCCGUUGGCAGACACUUGCCUCUAGCAAAUGUGAUUAAAGGCAGCAGCAAGCAUCCCAUCUGAUGAGAAAAUAAUCUUUUCCACUCAACAAUGAGGAGGAUUGAGAGAAGGGUGCUAAGCCUGGAGUCAGAAUACCUGAAGGCUCUACACCAGCCCUACCACUCUUUGGCUAUGUGAUAGCCGACAAAUCACUUCACCUCUUCUGAACUGCGGUCCCCCAGCAAGGGUAACUGCACUCCUACACACGCUGAUGACUUGUUAUUAGGAUCUGGACAAUGAUGUGAAAUUCCUUUUCAAAUUAUUUACCCUUAUAUACAAUAGGAAUCAGUCUUAAUAAAAGCAAAUUUAUAAAUUCA